AUUGCACGUAUACGAUUGACACAUCCUUCCUGAGCUACCUUGCGUAACUGCAAAGCUGGUGUCAAAGAUCCACCAUUCUCCUCAUCUUCACCAUCUUCAUCACUAUCACUACUAUCAGUAUCCAUGUCAGUGUCACCGGAUGUUUUUUGGGUGGGCACCAAUUCACGCCUUUUACCAGAAAUAUUAGAUACUUUGAAUAUUCCAAUAGAGUUAUAAGAAGCUUUUUCUGCCUGAGUCCCUGCAACCAAAUA
rnacentral:misc_RNA from 1 species